rnacentral:rRNA from 1 species
GACGAACGCUGGCGGCGUGCUUAACACAUGCAAGUCGAACGGAAAGGCCCUGCUUUUGUGGGGUUCUCGAGUGGCGAGCGGGUGAGUAACACGUGAGUAACCUGCCCUUGACUUUGUGAUAACUUCACGAAACUGGGGCGAAUACCCGAUAGAAGCUCCUGCUGCAUGGUGUGCGUUGGUGAGUUUCGGCGGUUGGGGAUGUACUCGCGGGUUAUCAGCUUGUUGGUGGGGUAGUGGCUUACCAAGGCUUUGACGGGUAGCCUGCCUGAGAGGGGGACCGGCCACAUUGGGACUGAGAUACGGCGCAGACGCCUACGGGAGGCAGCAGUGGGGAAUAUUGCAGAAUGGGGGGAAGCCUGAUGCAGAAACGCCGCGUGCGGGAUGCCGGGCUUUGGGUUGUAAACAGAUUUCGAAUGUGACGAAGAGGGAGUGACGGUAAUGGGUAAAGAAGCACCGGCUAACUACGUG